rnacentral:rRNA from 1 species
AGCUGCAGUCGAGAUCUUUCGCAUGGGCGAAGCCUGACGAAGCGACGCCGUGUGAGCGAAGAAGGCCUUCGGGUUGUAAAGCUCUUUCGCUAGGGAACAAGGGAGACGGGAUAAUACCCCGUCGACUUGAGGGUACUUGGUAAAGAAGCACCGGCUAACUCC